UACAGAGACUGCAAGCGUUAUUCGGAUUCACUGGGCGUAAAGGGUGCGCAGGCGGCCAAGUGUGUCAGGUGUGAAAUCCCGGGGCUUAACUCCGGAACUGCGCCUGAAACUACUUGGCUAGAGCAUUGGAGAGGGAAGUGGAAUUCACGGUGUAGCAGUGAAAUGCGUAGAUAUCGGGAGGAACACCAGUGGCGAAGGCGGUUGCCUGGGGCUUUGCUGACGCUGAGGCGCGAAAGCGUGGGGAGCGAUCCGG
rnacentral:rRNA from 1 species